rnacentral:tmRNA from 14 species
GGGGCUGUUUUGGAAUUGACAUUAGAGUUUUCGGGUAAUUUUUGAAGUCUUUUGAAGACUUCCUUCUUUAAAAAGAAAUGCAAACAAUAUUUUAAAUUUUAAUUCAAAGCUAGCAAUUGCUUAAAUAAUUUUGAAUUACCUACGAAAUUAUCCUUUUGGUUUUGUUGGUUUAGAGAAAAAGGAAAAACGCUUUAAAAACGUGUAGGGUUCAAAUGAUACAAACUACGACAAACAAAUAACUACUAUAGCAAAAAGAAUUUCUCUACAUACUAUAAUGGACGUGGGUUCGAAUCCCACCAGCUCCACA